UGGGGGCCUAUACAUGCAGUCGAGCGGACCGACGGGAGCUUGCUCCCUUAGGUCAGCGGCGGACGGGUGAUAACACGUGGGUAACCUGCCUGUAAGACUGGGAUAACUCCGGGAAACCGGGGCUAAUACCGGAUGCUUGUUUGAACGCAUGGUUCAAACAUAAAAGGUGGCUUUUCGCUACCACUUACAGAUGGACCCGCGGCGCAUUAGCUAGUUGGUGGGGUAACGGCUCACCAAGGCACGAUGCGUAGCCGACCUGAGAGGGUGAUCGGCCACACUGGGACUGAGACACGGCCCAGACUCCUACGGGAGGCAGCAGUAGGGAAUCUUCCGCAAUGGACGAAAGUCUGACGGAGCAACGCCGCGUGAGUGAUGAACGCGUUUUCGAAUCGUAAAACUCUGUUGUUAGGGAAGAACAAGUACCGUUCGAACAGGGCSGUACCUUGACGGUACCUAACCAGAAAGCCACGGCUAACUACGUGCCAGCAGCCGCGGUAAUACGUAGGUGGCAAGCGUUGUCCCGGAAAUUAUUGGGCGUAAAGCGCGCGCAGGCGGUUYUUUAAGUCUGAUGUGAAAGCCCCCGGCUCAACCGGGGAGGGUCAUUGGAAACUGGGGAACUUGAGUGCAGAAGAGGAGAGUGGAAUUCCACGUGUAGCGGUGAAAUGCGUAGAGAUGUGGAGGAACACCAGUGGCGAAGGCGACUCUCUGGUCUGUAACUGACGCUGAGGCGCGAAAGCGUGGGGAGCGAACAGGAUUAGAUACCCUGGUAGUCCACGCCGUAAACGAUGAGUGCUAAGUGUUAGAGGGUUUCCGCCCUUUAGUGCUGCAGCAAACGCAUUAAGCACUCCGCCUGGGGAGUACGGUCGCAAGACUGAAACUCAAAAGGAAUUGACGGGGGGCCCGCACAAGCGGUGGAGCAUGUGGUUUAAUUUCGUAAGCAACGCGAAGAACCUUACCAGGUCUUGACAUCCUCUGACAACCCUAGAGAUAGGGCUUCCCCUUCGGGGGCAGAGUGACAGGUGGUGCAUGGUUGUCGUCAGCUCGUGUCGUGAGAUGUUGGGUUAAGUCCCGCAACGAGCGCAACCCUUGAUCUUCGUUCCCAGCAUUCAGUUGGGCACUCUAAGGUGACUGCCGGUGACAAACCGGAGGAAGGUGGGGAUGACGUCAAAUCAUCAUGCCCCUUAUGACCUGGGCUACACACGUGCUACAAUGGGCAGAACAAAGGGCAGCGAAGCCGCGAGGCUAAGCCAAUCCCACAAAUCUGUUCUCAGUUCGGAUCGCAGUCUGCAACUCGACUGCGUGAAGCUGGAAUCGCUAGUAAUCGCGGAUCAGCAUGCCGCGGUGAAUACGUUCCCGGGCCUUGUACACACCGCCCGUCACACCACGAGAGUUUGUAACACCCGAAGUCGGUGAGGUAACCUUUUGGAGCCAGCCCA
rnacentral:rRNA from 1 species